AAAAAGUUUGAUUCUUGCUUGUUUUUGGUUUUGUUUCUUGAAUACAUUCAAAUUUAGGUGUGGGAGUGUAGGGUUUAGAUUUAAAAUGUAAAUUUAUAGGAUAGAAGCGCAGUAUUAAAUUUUAGAUAAUAAAGGAAAGUUUGAUCUAGUGGGAAUGUAUUGCUCUGAUUAAAUUUUGUGCCAGCAGUCGCGGUUAGACUUGGGGAGUUAAUGAAAAUUUAUCGGUAAAAAGUUAAAGUGGAAGCUAGAGGAUGUAAGUUUUAUUUAGAUUGAAAGGUGAAAUUAAUGUUUAUUGUAAAAAUUAUAUUAGAGGCUGAUAUUGAGACGUUUAAAUUUAAGGUUAAAACUAGGAUUAGAUACCCUAUUAUUCUUGAAUAAAAAGUUAUUACCUGAAUAUUAAUAGUUAUGUUCUUUAAAUAUAUAGAAUUUGGCGGUAGUUUAGUCUAGUUAGAGGAGCCUGUUUUUGGAACGAUAAUCCACGAAGUAUCUUACUUAAUCUAUUUUUUGUAUACCGUCAUUAUUAGAUGAUUUUUAAAUAAGAUAAUUAUUGUAAUAGUUUAAUUGAUUAAUAAAUUAGAUCAAGGUGCAGAUUAUGGUUAAGUUAAAAUGGGCUACAGUAAAUAUAAUUUAUUAUGAAUUAGAAUAUGAAAUGUAUUUUAUGAAGGUGGAUUUAAUAGUAAUUUAAUUUUAGUAUGUUUAAAUGAUUAUAGCUCUAGAUUAUGUACAUAUUGCCCGUCGCUUUCUUGACUAACAGGGAAUAAGUCGUAACAUAGUAGAUGUACCGGAAGGUGUAUCUAGAACAAG
rnacentral:ncRNA from 1 species